UACGAAGGGGGCUAGCGUUGCUCGGAAUCACUGGGCGUAAAGGGCGCGUAGGCGGCCGGCCAAGUCGGGGGUGAAAGCCUGUGGCUCAACCACAGAAUUGCCUUCGAUACUGCAUGGCUUGAGACCGGAAGAGGUUAGUGGAACUGCGAGUGUAGAGGUGAAAUUCGUAGAUAUUCGCAAGAACACCAGUGGCGAAGGCGGCUGACUGGUCCGGUUCUGACGCUGAGGCGCGAAAGCGUGGGGAGCAAACAGG
rnacentral:rRNA from 1 species